rnacentral:rRNA from 1 species
GAGUUUGAUCCUGGCUCAGAGUGAACGCUGGCGGCGUGCCUAAUACAUGCAAGUCGAACGGAGAUUAAAGUAAGCUUGCUUAUUUUAAUCUUAGUGGCGCACGGGUGAGUAAUGUAUAGCUAAUCUGCCCUACACUAGAGGACAACAGUUGGAAACGACUGCUAAUACUCUAUACUCCUUCUUUACAUAAGUUAAGUCGGGAAAGUUUUUCGGUGUAGGAUGAGGCUAUAUCGUAUCAGCUAGUUGGUGAGGUAACGGCUCACCAAGGCUAUGANGUGUAACUGGUCUGAGAGGAUGAUCAGUCACACUGGAACUGAGACACGGUCCAGACUCCUACGGGAGGCAGCAGUAGGGAAUAUUGCUCAAUGGGGGAAACCCUGAAGCAGCAACGCCGCGUGGAGGAUGACACUUUUCGGAGCGUAAACUCCUUUUCUUGGGAAAGAA